rnacentral:rRNA from 1 species
AAAACUUUCAACAACGGAUCUCUUGGUUCUGGCAUCGAUGAAGAACGCAGCGAAAUGCGAUAAGUAAUGUGAAUUGCAGAAUUCAGUGAACCAUCGAAUCUUUGAACGCACAUUGCGCCCCUUGGUAUUCCGGGGGGCAUGCCUGUUCGAGCGUCAUUA